rnacentral:misc_RNA from 1 species
GAUGAAGAACGUAGCGAAAUGCGAUACUUGGUGUGAAUUGCAGAAUCCCGUGAACCAUCGAGUCUUUGAACGCAAGUUGCGCCCGAAGCCAUUAGGCCGAGGGCACGCCUGCCUGGGCGUCACACGUCGUUGCCCCCCCCAUCUACUCCUUCGGGAUUGCGGGGGGCGGAUGAUGGCCUCCCGUGCGCCUCGUCGCGCGGUUGGCAUAAAUGCCAAGUCCUCGGCGACACACGCCACGACAAUCGGUGGUUGCGAAACCUCGGUUGCCCGUCGUGUGCGGUCGUCGCGCAUCGAGGGCUCGAAAAAAUUGCCGGGCUCCGGCUCGGCUUUCAACGCGACCCCAGGUCAGGCGGGGUUACCCGCUGAAUUUAAGCAUAUCAAUAAGCGGAGGA